rnacentral:rRNA from 1 species
AGAGUUUGAUCAUGGCUCAGAUUGAACGCUGGCGGCAUGCUUUACACAUGCAAGUCGGACGGCAGCACGGAGAAGCUUGCUUCUUGGGUGGCGAGUGGCGAACGGGUGAGUAACAUAUCGGAACGUACCGAGUAAUGGGGGAUAACUAAUCGAAAGAUUAGCUAAUACCGCAUAUUCUCUGAGGAGGAAAGCAGGGGACCUUCGGGCCUUGCGUUAUUCGAGCGGCCGAUAUCUGAUUAGCUAGUUGGUGGGGUAAAGGCCUACCAAGGCGACGAUCAGUAGCGGGUCUGAGAGGAUGAUCCGCCACACUGGGACUGAGACACGGCCCAGACUCCUACGGGAGGCAGCAGUGGGGAAUUUUGGACAAUGGGCGCAAGCCUGAUCCAGCCAUGCCGCGUGUCUGAAGAAGGCCUUCGGGUUGUAAAGGACUUUUGUCAGGGAAGAAAAGGCUGUUGCUAAUACCGACAGCUGAUGACGGUACCUGAAGAAUAAGCACCGGCUAACUACGUGCCAGCAGCCGCGGUAAUACGUAGGGUGCGAGCGUUAAUCGGAAUUACUGGGCGUAAAGCGAGCGCAGACGGUUACUUAAGCAGGAUGUGAAAUCCCCGGGCUCAACCUGGGAACUGCGUUCUGAACUGGGUGACUAGAGUGUGUCAGAGGGAGGUAGAAUUCCACGUGUAGCAGUGAAAUGCGUAGAGAUGUGGAGGAAUACCGAUGGCGAAGGCAGCCUCCUGGGAUAACACUGACGUUCAUGCUCGAAAGCGUGGGUAGCAAACAGGAUUAGAUACCCCGGUAGUCCAA